rnacentral:misc_RNA from 1 species
UGUCUUUUAGCUCACCGAAGAGCAGAAACUGGCGCUCAAGUUUCCGGGGAAGAAACCAGUUGCCACUGAUAUUUUGAAAAAGAGAAUGCAGAGAGGGGUGAAAUAUUUUGAUUCUGGCGAUUACGCCAUGGCGAAGAGCGAGAAAAAAGUAGGUCCCGCCGCAGCGGCCAUUGGUAACAGGGGAAAAUUGCCCGUUGGAGUCGGAAAAGCCAUCCCCACACCCGAUAACAUCCCACACAGGAAAACGUCUGUGCCUAACUAUCACACUCGUGCAAGAAGUGGAGAGUUUAACCUUGUAAUGGAUCAGUAAUCUUCUGGUUUGGAGAGUGCUCAAGACUUCAUCAUUAGUUAAACUAAAAGCUACACUUGUAGUUAGCAUAAAUGAUCAUGGUAUAUUAAUCUUCUGAGGUAAUAAUGCUUGACUUAAUUUUAUGAAGUAGUGUAACAUAAGUACUUACUUGCUUUCAAAGUUUAAACACUUGCACUAUUUUUCCUGAUGAGAUGUACUCUUUCUUGUUCAUUUGAUGCUGUGGCUAUUGUAAUUUGAUAUGGAAUUAAUGGUUAACUCUGUGUUAAGUAGUUCACUGAAGAGAAACUAUUUUUUGUUAUGUAAUUGUACAGUAAUGUGGUAAAAUAUUUACUUAAAGCUCUUUUAUUCAAUUGCUUAGGGCAUAGGAUUUUGGCAGGGUGAGUUCCAGUUCUCAAACUAGUUGUUAGUGCUUACCAGUGCCAGCUGCAUGUUUAUAUCUACAUUUUCCAUGUACAAUCAUUAUUUAUAAAACUAAAUUAUCAUAAUUUAAGCAUGUCUAUAGUUCUCUGCAAAUGGUACUUAAAAGGAAGAAUACUCAGUUAGUUAACAAGAUGUGUGGAAAAGGAAGAAAAAAUGUAUUAAAAUGUAUAAAUUGCCAAGGAACUCUUUGCUCAAACAAAUCUUCCCUCUAACAGUCUUAUGCUAAAACAGGUUGGUGGACUCCUAAACUACAUGUAAAAUCGUUGAAAUGAAAUAAAGGGACCUAAACCUAUCAUAUCAGGAAA